CUAAUACUCCAUCCGUCUCAAAAAUCUUGUCUUAAAUUUGUCUAAAUACGAAUGUAUCUAAUACUAAAACAUUACUUGAUACACCCGUAUUUAGACAAAUCUGAAACAAGAAUUUUGGGACGGAGGGAGUGUAAG
rfam:Triticum aestivum genome assembly, contig: Triticum_aestivum_CS42_TGACv1_scaffold_499374_6BL